UAAAUUGUGUGUCAGUGAAGCUACCUGU
rnacentral:piRNA from 1 species